rnacentral:rRNA from 1 species
GACGAACGCUGGCGGCGUGCUUAACACAUGCAAGUCGAACGGUAAGGCCCUUCGGGGUACACGAGUGGCGAACGGGUGAGUAACACGUGGGUGAUCUGCCCUGCACUUCGGGAUAAGCCUGGGAAACUGGGUCUAAUACCGGAUAGGACCACUGCCUGCAUGGGAGGUGGUGGAAAGCUUUUGCGGUGUGGGAUGGGCCCGCGGCCAUUCAGCUUGUGGGUGGGGUGAUGGCCUACCAAGGCGACGACGGGUAGCCGGCCUGAGAGGGUGACCGGCCACACUGGGACUGAGAUACGGCCCAGACUCCUACGGGAGGCAGCAGUGGGGAAUAUUGCACAAUGGGCGCAAGCCUGAUGCAGCGACGCCGCGUGAGGGAUGACGGCCUUCGGGUUGUAAACCUCUUUCAGCACCGACGAAGCGCAAGUGACGGUAGGUGCAGAAGAAGGACCGGCCAACUACGUGCCAGCAGCCGCCGUAA